UGGAGAUUUCUCUCACUGGGUACCUGGCAGCCUGAGUGGCCUAGAUACACAGGGGGUUAGAGUUGGGUCUCUUGACAACCAUGAAGAGGAUGGGAAAAGAGUAACAAGGAAGGGAGGGGGGGAGGGAGGGAGGGGGGAGGAAGGAGCUACCACUGUCCUAAGGAUGGCCUUCCUGCCUCACACAUUUUCUUCCGGAUGCUCUGCCCCACCCCAGGCACACAUAAGUUGGAGCAAGCCCACCUGGUUCCCAGCACGAGGCCCCCACCUGCCUUCCUAGCUUUACCAGAGAGGACAAGAAAGAGCAGCUGUGGGAGGUGUUCGUCAUCGGUGCCCCGCCCACUCUACACACGAGGAUCUGAGGGUUCCAGACUCCCAAACACACGUGCUAACAUGACGAAGCUGCAGCCUGGGAAGCAGGUUUGUAGACAAUCCAACUCGGAGCCCAACAACCAAGAUUUAACUAAGCAAGUCCUCUUCCAACCAAAAAAAAAAAAAAAAAGUUGAUUUCUUCUGAGUCUUAAAUUUUUUUUAAAGUCGUCACAAAAGUAAGUCAGCUGUUCUUUGAGAGAAUAGCAGUCCUUGUCCAGUUGCUAUUCCCCUUGGUGAGUAUUACUGCUGUGUUGCUCUGAGGCUUUCUUCCCAAGUCCACGGUGAACAAGAGGCAGACCUUCUCCGUCCUCGUCCACAUGCUACACAACUGCACACUGGAGGAGCCCAGUAAGCGCCAAAGGCAAGUCAGGUUGGUCUUUGCUUUCUUGGCUCUAGCAUGUUUUGAAUACACUCUUAUAUAAGGGGAUGGUUGACUACAAGGAGUGAGUUCAUGUGUGAUGGCCAGGCUGCUCUUCACAGCUCUUUAGCUGCCCCUGUCAACUUUGGAUGUGGUUAGGAAGGCCAAGUGCGGGAUCUACAGUCAAGCUGCAAGCUCACGAGCCCUCUUCCCUUCUUUCCCUUGAAUCUGUUUCUCACCGCUAUGGCCUACGUUCAAGCUCUCAGAUGGAGAAACGGCCCUUGAACAGUUGGCAGUACACCAAGAAGAAGGUGUGUGGUUUGGAUAUUGAGUUGUCCUAUCUACAUCAUGUAGCUAGCUCUCAUUGAGCAGUGCCAACCAAGCACCCGGGAUCGAGUUUGAUGUUUAGUCCCCAGAAGACACCAGGAAAGAAAGUUGGUUACAAGGACCUUCUGUGUGCUUCCGCUGUGGCUGCUGUUACCCUGGUCUAAUGGAGGCCUGCCCCAAGAGCCUGGGAUCCAUCAAGUCGGUCAUCCUCUUCUCAUCCCUAAGCCCACCCUGGCAACCUUGCCUCAUUCCCACAUCCAAUCUGUUCCUUACCUGGUCCUUGUCCACCCUGGACUUGUAAGAUACAGCCAGACAAUAGAAAACAGAAUUCAGGCACACACAUGGGGACAAAAAAAAUUAUGAAAAUGAAACGUAAAUAAAUAUGGAUGCUGAGGACCUAAUUCUGAUAAG
rnacentral:lncRNA from 1 species